UCUCUCUGAAUCUGCGAACGGCUCCGCAAACCAGUUGUAAACUCGAGUAAGCUAGUCUGGGGUGGCCUUCACGGGCUGCCCUGGGCGAUAUGGAUACCCCUGGUAAUUCUGAGGCUAAUACAGGACCGCAAAACUUGGAUGACCGGGCUUCGGCUUGGGAGCUGAGGGAUGUGUGCCCUACGGCUUGGGUUUAACCAGGAAGGGGUGCACUUUCAGACUGCGAUAAAAAGGAUUCCCUUUCCCUCGGGAAAGGGGACUGGCCCCAGCAGCUCUUACUGUGUGCUUCUGACCUAUCAACUAGACGGCAGCAUAAACGACAUGCUAUGGUUACAACGGGUACAGAGGAUUAGGGUUCGAUCCUGGAGAGUGGGCCUGAGAGAUU
rnacentral:rRNA from 1 species